UUGGUAAGGGAAACUUUCAUCACACCAGAUGUCGAAGCUCUAUUGAAUAUUCCAUUGCGGCGAGGUGGUGGCGCAGAUUUUCUUGCAUGGGCAUAUGAGAAAUCAGGCAAUUACAAUGUGAAAACAGCGUACCGAGCUCUUAUGAACCGCAACGAGCAUUCAACUCUAGGUGAGGGGCAGGCUACAGGAGCUUCAGUGGAUCAAUCACACCUGUGGAAAGCAUUAUGGUCUCUCAAAGUUGUACCAAAGGUGCGUGUGUUCUAG
rnacentral:rRNA from 1 species